rnacentral:rRNA from 1 species
UACGUAGGGUGCGAGCGUUGUCCGGAAUUAUUGGGCGUAAAGAGCUCGUAGGCGGUGUGUCACGUCGGCCGUGAAAACCUGCAGCUUAACUGUGGGCGUGCGGUCGAUACGGGCAUCACUGGAGUUCGGCAGGGGAGACUGGAAUUCCUGGUGUAGCGGUGAAAUGCGCAGAUAUCAGGAGGAACACCGGUGGCGAAGGCGGCAUCCUGGACCGGCAUUGACGCUGAGGAGCGAAAGCCAGGGGAGCAAACGGGG